UUGUGCCAUUUCCAAAGUCUUCCCAGUGAAUGCCCAGCUUCUCCACUGUGCUUGCGUUACUGCAGAGGCUUUCCAUGCUACUGAUUGGUUUACUACAGGGCUGGCCUUACCAUAAGGCGAACUCAGGCGGCUGCCUCAGUGGCUCUGGGCCGAACACAUACCUGAUGUAAUUCUACUGAAAUCCAUGACUGAAUGCAAUCCAGCAACACAUUUGGCUUAACUGCUUUCCGUGGCUUAUGGAUGGUGGAAAGGUAUACUGACAGGUGUCUAAGAAACUGCAAGUUUAUUAGACAUCAGUUCGAAAUGGAGAGAGAAGGCCAAAUUCUGCUCUCAGUUACAGUGGAGUAAGUCUGGGGUACAGAAACUUCAGUGAAGUCAAGAGAUUGAUGAUGAGUUUUGAAGAUUUGGAUGAGUUAAAACAGCAGCAGCAGCAUCCAUGUGGGACUAAUCUUCCCUCGACAACUCUUAUGGUUUGAAUUAAUAAAUUCUUUCCAUAGGAAAUAUCUGUGGAAUGUCUCCAAC